rnacentral:rRNA from 1 species
ACUUUAUUUGCGCAGCAUAGGUGGGAGGCAUUGAGUUUAUUCUUGCGGGAAUUUAGGAGCCAUCAGUGAGAUACCACUCUGGUAAUGUUAGAUUUCUAACUUUGUAUCAUGAUCUGGUCAAAGAACAGUUUCAGGCGGGCAGUUUGACUGGGGCGGUCGCCUCCCAAAUGGUAACGGAGGCGUACAAAGGUUUCCUCUGAACGUGUAGAAAUCGUAUCUAGAGCGUAAAGGCAUAAGGAAGCUUGACUGUGAGACCUACAAGUCGAGCAGGGACGAAAGUCGGUCUUAGUGAUCUGACGGUGCUGAGUGGAAAGGCCGUCACUCAACGGAUAAAAGUUACUCUAGGGAUAACAGGCUGAA